CAAGUGCAGCUUCAGCAUGUUGCCUGAGAUGAUGAGGAGUUGCUCGGCUCUCGUCGUUCUCCCCGUCUUUAUUUCCUGUCCUUCCAGAGGAUCAACAGAAACCAGCAUUCACAAACCCAUGUCUUAUUCCGUUGUUUGGUAGGCUAGCUUUAGUCUUUGUUGCAGUUCUAGUGUUCCCCCCUUGUUGUGCUGUAGAAACGCCGGGAAAUUGCUUCAGACUUUUACUUGCUGCGGAUUAGCAGCGCAUACUGGUGGCGAAGGUUGUUAUGUAUUUUGUGUCUGUUGAUGAAUGUUGUGGUGAUCUUGCUGUUUGAGUUCUUCUUCUGUGAUGUCAUGGCUUGGGUUCGGAACCGUUCGCCGCAGAAAUGAAGUGUGUUAGUUGUACAGUGUUAGUUGUACAGUGUUUGUAGUUCAGGGGCUCAGGUAGUAGUUGGAGGAAUCGGUGAUCAUGGGCGGGAGUACUGUUG
rnacentral:lncRNA from 1 species